GUGUCAGCCGCCGCGGUAAUACGUAGGGUGCAAGCGUUAAUCGGAAUUACUGGGCGUAAAGCGUGCGCAGGCGGUUUUGUAAGACAGAGGUGAAAUCCCCGGGCUCAACCUGGGAAUGGCGCUUGUGACUGCAAAGCUGGAGUGCGGCAGAGGGGGAUGGAAUUCCGCGUGUAGCAGUGAAAUGCGUAGAUAUGCGGAGGAACACCGAUGGCGAAGGCAAUCCCCUGGACCUGUACUGACGCUCAUGCACGAAAGCGUGGGGAGCAAACAGGAUUAGAUACCCUGGUAGUCCACGCCCUAAACGAUGUCAACUGGUUGUUGGGUCUUCACUGACUCAGUAACGAAGCUAACGCGUGAAGUAGACCGCCUGGGGAGUACGGUCGCAAGAUUAAAACUCAAAGAAAUUGGCGG
rnacentral:rRNA from 1 species